UCGCUUACUACUUCUUUUCAUCAUCACAUUUCUCUUCACGUUUCCAUGCACUGCUCGACUUGGAAGAGAUUAUGCAGUCCCUAUGAGUAGUCCUAAACCACCAAGCCCGUACCCGAAACCGUCCCCCAAGUUGGUUCCCAGCCGGGGACGACAAUUAGCAGGUCAGAUCUCGGUUCCUGGUCGUAGGCCAGGAGGAGGAGGAGGACGAGCUCCAGGUCGAACUAGAGCGCCACCACAAUUGUAGCACAGAGGCAGAA